AACGAACGCUGGCGGCAGGCUUAACACAUGCAAGUCGAACGGUUGCAGCAAUGCAGCAGUGGCAGACGGGUGAGUAACACGUGGGAACCUUCCUAGGGGUACGGAACAACUCAGGGAAACUUGAGCUAAUACCGUAUACGUCCGUGAGGAGAAAGAUUUAUCGCCCUUAGACGGGCCCGCGUCGGAUUAGCUAGUUGGUGGGGUAACGGCCUACCAAGGCGACGAUCCGUAGCUGAUCUUAGAGGAUGAU
rnacentral:rRNA from 1 species